GAUGAAGAACGUAGCGAAAUGCGAUACUUGGUGUGAAUUGCAGAAUCCCAUGAACCAUCGAGUCUUUGAACGCAAGUUGCGCCCGAAGCCAUUAGGCCGAGGGCACGCCUGCCUGGGCGUCACACGUCGUUGCCCCCCCAUCUACUCCUUCGGGAUUGCGGGGGGCGGAUGAUGGCCUCCCGUGCGCCUUGUCGCGCGGUUGGCAUAAAUGCCAAGUCCUCGGCGACGCACGCCACGACAAUCGGUGGUUGCGAAACCUCGGUUGCCCGUCGUGUGCGGUCGUCGCGCAUCGAGGGCUCGAAAAAAUUGUCGGGCUCCGGCUCGGCUUUCAACGCGACCCCAGGUCAGGCGGGGUUACCCGCUGAAUUUAAGCAUAUCAUAAGCGGAGGA
rnacentral:misc_RNA from 1 species